rnacentral:rRNA from 1 species
UACGGAGGGUGCAAGCGUUGUCCGGAAUCAUUGGGCGUAAAGCGCGUGUAGGCGGUUCGGUAAGUCGGCUGUGAAAGUCCAGGGCUCAACCCUGGGAUGCCGGUCGAUACUGCCGGACUAGAGUUCGGAAGAGGCGAGUGGAAUUCCCGGUGUAGCGGUGAAAUGCGCAGAUAUCGGGAGGAACACCAAUGGCGAAGGCAGCUCGCUGGGACGUUACUGACGCUGAGACGCGAAAGCGUGGGGAGCAAACAGG